CAGCCGCGGUAAUACGUAGGUGGCAAGCGUUAUCCGGAAUUAUUGGGCGUAAAGGGUGCGUAGGCGGUUUAUUAAGUCUAUGGUGAAAGUGCGGGGCUCAACCCCGUAUGGCCAUAGAAACUGAUAGACUAGAGUGCAGGAGAGGGCAAUGGAAUUCCAUGUGUAGCGGUAAAAUGCGUAGAUAUAUGGAGGAACACCAGUGGCGAAGGCGGUUGCCUGGCCUGUAACUGACGCUGAAGCACGAAAGCGUGGGGAGCAAAUAGGAUUAGAUACCCUAGUAGUCCACGCCGUAAACGAUGAAUACUAAGUGUUGGAGAAAUUCAGUGCUGCAGUUAACGCAAUAAGUAUUCCGCCUGGGGAGUAUGCACGCAAGUGUGAAACUCAAAGGAAUUGACGGGACCCCGCACAAGCGGUGGAUUAUGUUGUUUAAUUCGACGCAACGCGAAGAACCUUACCAGGCCUUGACAUACUCAGCAAAGCCCUAGAGAUAGGGUGGAGGUUAUCUGGGAUACAGGUGGUGCAUGGUUGUCGUCAGCUCGUGUCGUGAGAUGUUGGGUUAAGUCCCGCAACGAGCGCAACCCUUGUCUUUAGUUACCAUCAUUCAGUUGGGGACUCUAGAGAGACUGCCGGUGAUAAACCGGAGGAAGGUGGGGAUGACGUCAAAUCAUCAUGCCCCUUAUGGCCUGGGCUACAAACGUAAUACAAUGGCGUAUACAAAGGGAUGCGAAAGGGUGACCUGGAGCAAAACUCAUAAAGUACGUCUCAGUUCAGAUUGGAGUCUGCAACUCGACUCCAUGAAGGCGGAAUCGCUAGUAAUCGCGGAUCAGCAUGCCGCGGUGAAUACGUUCUCGGGGUUUGUACACACCGCCCGUCAAACCAUGAGAGUUGGUAAUACCCGAAGCCGGUGGCC
rnacentral:rRNA from 1 species